rnacentral:rRNA from 1 species
UUGAUGCUGGUGUUUCUCUAACCGGGAGACAUAUUGUGCUCGCCUGCUGAUGGGGGUUCAUUUUUUGUUAACUUCUUUUCCACCUGUGCACUAUUGUAGUUGUUGUUGAUCGUCUCUCAAGCGCAAGCUUGGUCUGGAGUUUUGCGGGUUUCAUUAAGUUGAAGUCGGCUUUCUCUGUUGAUCUUCAGCAUCUAUUUACAUAUACUCGAUAUAAGUUUAGAAGGUCUUGAUAGGGCUUUAUGCCUAUAAAUCAAUUAUACAACUUUUAUUGCAACGGAUCUCUUGGCUCUCGCAUCGAUGAAGAACGCAGCGAAUUGCGAUAAGUAAUGUGAAUUGCAGAAUUCAGUGAAUCAUCGAAUCUUUGAACGCACCUUGCGCUCUUUGGUAUUCCGAAGAGCAUGCCUGUUUGAGUGUCAUUAAAUUCUCAACUCAUUUCAUUUGUUUAUCAAAGUGAAAUGCAUGUUGGAUGUGGGGGUUGCGGGCUUUCAUUCAAUUGAAGUCGGCUCUCCUGAAAUGCAUUAGCUGGAACCUUUGUUGGACCGCUUCUAUUGGGUGUGAUAAUUAUCUACGCCUAGGAAGUGACAAAAGACAUUUCAUACACUUGUGUAUGGGGUUCUGCUCCUAAUCGUCCAUUCACUUGGACAAUUUACUUUGACAUUUGACCUCAAAUCAGGU